AUGCCCGGGCCCAAAACCCAGCGCCUCCCGCUGUCUAGACGGCUGCCAGGUUCCUCCUCGCGCCGCGGGCUGGGGGCAGAGGAGAGGCCGGGGGAGGCAGCUGGCGCGGCGCCACGGGACACAGCCCCGUGCCCGCCCUUGCCGUGGGACACGGUGCGCUGCCACCCCCGGCCCUUCGCCCACGGAGGGGCAGGAGCGGCGCCCGGUGCUGCCGUAACCCUCGCGCUCGCCCGGCUCUGGCCUGGCCCUGGCGGCAGCCACACCGGGCCCGCGGGGCUCAGCGCGGGUACCGAGCAUGGCGAUUUCUACCCGAUUGCCGCUUUCCCCCCGCGCGGGGCCGCCCGCAGCGCCCAGGGCUCUCGGGGACGUGCCAGCGGGCGCAGGGAGCCCCGCAGCCCGCAGGGGCGCGCGCGUGCCAGCGCGGGGCCCCGGCGAGGCCAGGCAGCGGGCGCCGGGGCUCUUUGGCGAAGCUGGAGGAGGUGCUGCCCUCCCAGGGCAGCCGGGCCCUGCCCGGAGGGCACCCCACCGCCGGCGCCCAUGCUCGGCCCACGGGUACGUGCCCGCACAUACGUGGCCGUGGGGCAGGGACGCGGCGCUUCGGCCGCAAGCGAAGCGCCCCAUCGGGAGGGGACGAGCGCCGUGCUGGCGAGCGGAGACCCGCCGGCCGCCUCGGGACAAGGCGUCGCGCCAGCGCCGGCACCGGCUUGCUGCGGCUCCGCAGGACGGGACGACACCAGCGGCGGGAGCGGGCUGAGCCUGCAGCCAGCUCCGGAGCGCACGUGGCCAUUUCUCCAUAGCACCGUGGGAGGCCCGCGGGGGCCCCCCAGAAAGCACCGAAGGACGGGGAGGCCCCGGCCCCAAGCGCGCUGCCGGCAGGGACGCGGCUUCCCCGGGCGCGGGGCCAACACCGCGGCCGCGCGAGGGCUUGGCCGAGCCCUGCUCCCGCGGCGGGCGCUCCGGGACACCCCGGCCCGGGCAGCCCCGGCCCCUGCAAGCUGCUGGGCUCCUGGUUCUUACAGAGGAAACAAAAAAGAAAAAAAAAAAAAUUAA
rnacentral:lncRNA from 1 species